CUCCAGGGGCUGGAACUCCAUCUCUUCCUUCUGCAUGCUGGGAAAGCAAAGUGGACUGUUAAGGAGCCACAGAGGGGAGGGGGGCAUCUCCUGGAGAGGCUGGAGCACUGAGAAUGCAGCUGCCAGUGGCAAGCCUCUCUCUGUAUUGCCACUAGCCCCGUCAAAACAGGGAUGCUCAUCAUACAGUGUAAUGUCCUACAGACUUGAUCCAGGUGUUGUGACGCUUUGUUCCUGCACUCACCUGAUGUCAAAAGUGGAGCCCAGGAAGGACGGGCGCUUGUACUCAGCGGUGGCAGCAGUGUAGGGUGGCUGGGGGUCAGGCUCGUUCCAGUACAGAUCCUUCUCCAGAAUGGGUAAAUCCUGGUGCAUCUCAUCCACUGCCAUGAGGGAGACCUGCGGGGGACAGCAGGAAUGUCACACAGGCCAGGUUGGAGAACCACACGCACGGAAUCCAGAACUUGUUGUGGGGGGAAUUCAAGCUCUCAAACUUCUUGUGCUCUUCUGGUGUCAUGAGACCUGAAUGGGAAAGAGCAGCUGGGAGAGGGAUGGACAUAGAGGGCAGAAGGAACUGAUCUGGUCUGGAAUGAAAACAUCUGAAUCUCAGGUGGGAUGCCUUGGCUCUCCCUAAAAAUCCCAGUAAAAACUCAGAAUCUGGGGAGACAUGCAGAAGGACAAGUCUCCCUGUUAAAACAUUGAGUCAUGGAGGUGAGAUAAUGGGAUUUCACUUUUGAUGUCUGCAGCACAUCAGAUAAGAGCCCAUCAGGGAGAUAAAGCACUGCUGGAGGUGCAGCUGCCUGGUGUCCAUAGAUACUUGUUGAGAAUGGGAUAAUUUGUGUCCCUGAAGUGCCUUUUCUUUUUAGGAGGCUUAACUAUAUCACAUCUCUGUGGAUUGCCAAGGGCACCCAGACAAUGUGGCUGGACUGGGAACUCUGCUGCACCUCGAGGAGCAUUUCCCAAGAAGAUGCAGUGUGCCCUGCAGUUAAGCUUGGAGACUUGGGGCUCAAAUUCCCACCUGCCCUGAGGGAACAGCACCACCCCAUUUCCACAGAAGCUUUCCCAGGGCCCCCUGCCCCUGGAGGAGCAGCAAGGAGCAGUGCUGAC